rnacentral:rRNA from 1 species
AGCAGCCGCGGUAAUUCCAGCUCCAAUAGCGUAUAUUAAAGUUGUUGCAGUUAAAAAGCUCGUAGUUGAAUUUCGGGGUUCUAUCGUUGGUCGGGCUAUUGUCUGUACUGGCGUGUAGAAUUUCUACCUUCUGGGGAACUAUCAUGUUAUUUAUUUAGCGUGGUAGGAAACCAGGACCUUUACCUUGAAAAAAUUAGAGUGUUCAAAGCAGGCUUAUGUCUGAAUACAUUAGCAUGGAAUAAUAAAAUAGGACGGUGGUCCUGUUUUGUUGGUUUCUGAAUCACCGUAAUGAUUAAUAGGGAUAGUUGGGGGCAUUAGUAUUCAAUUGUCAGAGGUGAAAUUCUUGGAUUUAUUGAAGACUAACUACUGCGAAAGCAUUUGCCAAGGAUGUUUUCAUUAAUCAAGAACGAAAGUUAGGGGAUCGAAGACGAUCAGAUACCGUCGUAGUCUUAACCAUAAACUAUGCCGACUAGGGAUCGGACGAUGUUAACUUUUCUUGACUCGUUCGGCGCCUUACGGG